GACGAACGCUGGCGGCGUGCCUAAUACAUGCAAGUAGAACGCUGAAGGAGGAGCUUGCUUCUCUGGAUGAGUUGCGAACGGGUGAGUAACGCGUAGGUAACCUGCCUGGUAGCGGGGGAUAACUAUUGGAAACGAUAGCUAAUACCGCAUAAUAGCAGUUAUUGCAUGAUAACUGUUUGAAAGGUGCAAUUGCACCACUACCAGAUGGACCUGCGUUGUAUUAGCUAGUUGGUGGGGUAACGGCUCACCAAGGCGACGAUACAUAGCCGACCUGAGAGGGUGAUCGGCCACACUGGGACUGAGACCCGGCCCAGACUCCUACGGGAGGCAGCAGUAGGGAAUCUUCGGCAAUGGACGGAAGUCUGACCGAGCAACGCCGCGUGAGUGAAGAAGGUUGUCGGAUCGUAAAGCUCGGUUGUAAGAGAAGAACGAGUGUGAGAGUGGAAAGUUCACACUGUGACGGUAUCUUACCAGAAAGGGACGGCUAACUACGUG
rnacentral:rRNA from 1 species